GACGAACGCUGGCGGCGUGCCUAACACAUGCAAGUCGAACGGACGGACCCUAAUUUUGCGGUACUCAUGUUAGCGGCGGGCGGGUGAGUCACACGUGGAUAACCCACCUAUUAGACUGGGACAACUUCGGGAAACUGGAGCAAAUACUGGAUAAUAUUUUGAACCGCAUGGUUCAAAAGUGAUUGACGGUUUUGCUGUCACCUCUAGCUGGAUCCGCGCUGCUUUAGCUAGUUGGUAGGGUAACGGCUUGCCAAGGCGACGAUGCAUAGCCGACCUGAGAGGGUGAUCGGCCACCGUGGAAGUGAGACACGGUCCAGAGUCCUACGGGAGGCAGCAGUAGGUAAUGUUCGGCAAUGGGCGGAAGCCUGACGGAGCGACGCCGCGUGGGUGAAGAAGGUCUUCGGAGCGGAUGACUCUGUUAUGGGGGAAGAACAUAUGUGUAAGUAACUGAGCAUUUCUUGAUGGUACCUAGUCAAGAAGCACCGGCUAACUACGUG
rnacentral:rRNA from 1 species